ACAGCCAUGAAAGAUUAAAUCAAGCGCACAGAAAUUAAGCGUUCUCCUGUUCGCUCUGUAAAAUGAAUGCAAAUUAAUUUUGUUUGAUUUUCUAGUAAAAUUCGAGGGAACAACCUGUAAUGUGCGGUUUCUCCGAAUCGAUUCGCUUAGCCGACUAAUCACAGCUGGAGAUUUAACGCCGGCAUCCAAAAGGCCUACUUAACGUUCAUCCAUCUCAGCUGUAAACCCCACCAUCCCGGGCUGGCUAUUGGUUGAUAUCAAAACAGCAAGUAGAUAAUGUGAAACGGCACUUGUGCGACGGUUGGAGAGGCAAGAUUAAAGUAUAAUUUAAGGUACGGUUAUGCUAACAAGAAGACUUGACAGUUUAAAAAGGACUGUAACGCUGCCGUGAACCAACGAUAACGAUAACAAGUCAACUGGAUCAACUUAACAACGGAAGAGUCCACACAGGGGAUGCAGAGCGACAGAGGAACGAGCGAAGAGCGCCUGCAAGUGAACCGUCCUCUAAAGAGAACCGGCGGUGCAUCUGACCUUGGGCACUGACCUGAAGGUCACGGUUGCCGUGCAACAGCGGCAGUUCCAGGAUGGGCGGAAAGCAGAGAGGGCAAGAGACAGUGCCUCGGUUGCGGAUGGGACCCCCCCAACCCCCCAAACCACCACCACCACCAAACUCAGGGGAGGGGCCCUCGCAUGCAGUUCGAGUGUCUGCCACCCUACGGGCUGCGCCACACGUCCCACCACAUCUGAGGUAUUUCUGACUAUCCCCCUCCUCAACAGCAAAGAGGCCAAAACCAUUCUGACGUGCGGCCUUUCAAACUCAAACUCCUUACAGCGGGAAAUUCUUUCAGGGAGACAUUCGAUUGGAGCGGCCCUUCAGCAGCGGGGCACUCGACGGGACGCGGGGGGCGGCUCAUUUUAGCCGAGCGGCCCACGCGCAUUCCAAAGCCAACGAACGCCGACCGGACGAGAGGUCCCAGCGGCGGGCGAACGGCAACUUUAUGAAAACGUUUAAGGACCAGGGGGCCAGCACAGGGUCACUAAUAAAGGGAACACAGAGAGUAAUGAUUCAACCCUGUCGUAAAACGCCCUGCAGGACCAAAAUGAGUGAAGAUCUGCCAGAGGACUCCCUGAGAAGCUAAUUACCCAGAAGGUUAAAAAAAAAACAAGCUGAGGUAGCUUUUUUCAAUAUUACAGUAAAAAACAAAAAGAGUAACAGGAAUGUUAGGAGAGAGGGUUCGUUUUAUAAUUAAACAUUGCAGACGUGCUCGGCAAUUUACCGUCCCACCGAAACGCUCACUUAUAACGGCACCUGCCACAGACACACAGGAAGCACUGAGAGAAACGUCAAGAGCAAAUAUACAGCCGGAUAAGGUGUGUCUGGGUGGCAUACCUCCAAGGAUUUUUCCGGCGCGUAGGGAGAUCAUACAGAAAUCAUUAACUCAGUUACACUAAAGAACUGGAGACCAUCCAGAAGACAGGAGACGUUGGAGCGGAAGCAACAAUAUAUAUGUAUAUGUACGUGAAAUGCACUUUUACAAGAUACUUUGGCUAAGAGCGUCUGCUAAACUGCUUAAUUGUAAAUUGCCACUCGAAUAUGGUGGACGAUACUAAUCCAGAAAGUUUCAGGCCAUUCAUUUGAAUUGCCUAUGAAAUGCUGGAAUGUACAUAAUCAUGGGAAAGUUGUUCAUACCUGGUCCAAAAUUGCCUUUGGGAUAGUAAACAUCAAAUUGCAAAUUUGCAAAAUGAUUCCGAUCUUAUAAUCUUACAUGUUCUGCUUUUCAAAAGCCUUUGAGAAACAACGUAACUGCAUGAGCGAGUAACCAUGUGAUAAAACAGCUGUAAUGGAAAGAUCCGUCAGAGGCUUUGUACCUCCUGUGCUGGAUCUCCUGGUUCUGAUGUGGAGCGUGAGAGACUCUGUGUUAUAGACUCUGUACCUCCUGUGCUGGAUCUCCUUGUGCUCGCUACGUUUCUGAUGUGGCGUGUGGGAGUCUCCGUACCUCCUGUGCUGGAUCUCCUGGUUCUGAUGUGGAGCGUUAUAGACCCUGUACCUCCUGUGCUGGAUCUCCUUGUGCUUGCUACGUGUCUGAUGUGGCGUGUGGGAGUCUCCGUACCUCCU